rnacentral:rRNA from 1 species
AUUGAACGCUGGCGGCAUGCUUUACACAUGCAAGUCGAACGGCAGCACGGGUGCUUGCACCUGGUGGCGAGUGGCGGACGGGUGAGUAAUACAUCGGAACGUAUCCUAAAGUGGGGGAUAACGCAUCGAAAGAUGUGCUAAUACCGCAUACACUCUGAGGAGGAAAGUAGGGGAUCGAAAGACCUUAUGCUUUUGGAGCGGCCGAUGUCUGAUUAGCUAGUUGGUAAGGUAAUGGCUUACCAAGGCAACGAUCAGUAGUUGGUCUGAGAGGACGACCAGCCACACUGGGACUGAGACACGGCCCAGACUCCUACGGGAGGCAGCAGUGGGGAAUUUUGGACAAUGGGCGCAAGCCUGAUCCAGCAAUGCCGCGUGAGUGAAGAAGGCCUUCGGGUUGUAAAGCUCUUUCAGUUGAGAAGAAAGAUUAGUGACUAAUAAUUAGUCAA